GCUCUCUUAGCUCAGUUGGUAGAGCACUUCACUCGUAACGAAGGGGUCACAAGUUCGAACCUUGCAGAGAGCA
rnacentral:tRNA from 3 species